UCCCUUCCAUACAAAACGUGGAAAGUAUUCAACAAUAGUCAAUUUCAAAGCAUGCAAUCAAAACUUGUAUAUGUAUGAGCUGAGGUAAAAGAAGAAAAAGAAACGGUACAAUUUAUGGGAAGAAUAGGCUUUCAUUGAUCUACAAUUAAUAUUCGGAAAAUGCCCACGAAGGUUACAAUUGCCUGACAUGGACUAUUAGGUCCAUAAGUAAUUAGUUAGGCUUACGAACAUUGGUUUUAUAGAGUUGGUCGCCGUUUAAUUGAUAACCAAGAUCAUCAUCAAACGGAAGGAUACUUACAGAUGAACCCUUCAUACGUUGCAACGGUGGAAGCUUUACGGCAGAUAUAUAUUCUGGGUGAAAUUGCUAAGGAGCGCGGAGAAAGCGAAAAGUAUACGAAUAUAAUGCAACAGAUUGCUAGAAAUGAACUUGUUAGGCUAAACUAUGGUUAUGUCCUUGAUUUCCCUAGAAAUAACGAGGACAUCUUUUACCAGCCUAUUCAACAAGUUCGAGGCCCGGACAACAGACGGGAUGUAAACAGACGUGGUCCUCUAGCUCAGGGUGGUCAUCGGCAUCGACAGGAUCAUCGUUCCCUUUUGUGACCACGUCGCUAGUAUAACUAGAAGGGCAUUGUUGCCAUUUUCCCAUAUAUAACCGCGUCUUUCUUCUCUGUGUUUUCAGUAUAAGAGUUUGUUGUUUUCCUUCUUCUAUCAAGUUUUUACGUUUUGUUAUCCAUUCAUCCUGUACUCACUGUGUUCAUCAAUGAAGUCUUCCA